AUAGGAUCAAGUGAAUAAGUGCACAUGGUGGAUGCCUUGGCGAUUACAGGCGAUGAAGGACGUUAUAGACUGCGAUAAGCUGCGGGGAGUUGUCAAAUAAACUUUGAUCCGCAGAUUUCCGAAUGGGAAAACCCACCUCUUACGAGGUAUCUUUAAGUGAAUACAUAGCUUAAAGAGGCGAACCUGGUGAACUGAAACAUCUAAGUAACCAGAGGAAUAGACAUCAACCGAGAUUCCCAGAGUAGUGGCGAGCGAAAUGGGAACAGCCUUCUAGUGAUAGCUAGUUUGUUAGUAGAACGGAAUGGAAAGUCCGGCAAUAAAGGGUGAUAGCCCCGUAUACGAAAACAGAUUAGUGGUACUAAGUUAGAGACAAGUAGGGCGGGACACGAGAAAUCCUGUCUGAAUAUGGGAGGACCAUCUUCCAAGGCUAAAUACUCGUAAUCGACCGAUAGUGAACAAGUACCGUGAGGGAAAGGCGAAAAGAACCCCGGGAGGGGAGUGAAAUAGAUCCUGAAACCGUGUGCAUACAAACAGUCGGAGCCUCGCAAGGGGUGACGGCGUACCUUUUGUAUAAUGGGUCAGCGACUUACAUUCAGUAGCAAGCUUAACCGUUUAGGGUAGGCGUAGCGAAAGCGAGUCCGAAUAGGGCGUUAGUUGCUGGGUGUAGACCCGAAACCAGUUGAUCUAUCCAUGGCCAGGUUGAAGGUGCGGUAACACGUACUGGAGGACCGAACCCACUAACGUUGAAAAGUUAGGGGAUGAGCUGUGGAUAGGGGUGAAAGGCUAAACAAAACUGGAAAUAGCUGGUUCUCUCCGAAAACUAUUUAGGUAGUGCCUCGUGUAUCACCUUUGGGGGUAGAGCACUGUCAUGGUAGUGGGGUCCAUUGCGGAUUACUGCGCCAUAGCAAACUCCGAAUACCAAAGAGUGCAAGCACGGGAGACAGACGACGGGUGCUAACGUCCGCCGUCAAGAGGGAAACAACCCAGACCGCCAGCUAAGGUCCCUAAUAUAUGCUAAGUGGGAAACGAAGUGGGAAGGCUAAAACAGUCAGGAGGUUGGCUUAGAAGCAGCCACCCUUUAAAGAAAGCGUAAUAGCUCACUGAUCGAGUCGUCCUGCGCGGAAGAUGUAACGGGGCUAAGCAUAUAACCGAAGCUGCGGAUCACGUAAGUGAUGGUAGGAGAGCGUUCUGUAAGCCUGUGAAGGUGUGGUGUGAACCAUGCUGGAGGUAUCAGAAGUGCGAAUGCUGACAUGAGUAGCGAUAAAGGGGGUGAAAAGCCCCCUCGCCGUAAGCCCAAGGUUUCCUACGCAACGUUCAUCGGCGUAGGGUGAGUCGGCCCCUAAGGCGAGGCAGAGAUGCGUAGCUGAUGGGAACAAGGUUAAUAUUCCUUGACCAUUGAUAGAUGCGAUGGGGGGACGGAUCGCGGAAUGUUGUCCGGGUGUUGGAUGUCCCGGUCCUUAUAUUUGAGAAGGCUAUUAGGCAAAUCCGGUAGCGUAAUUCAAGAGUAUGAGGCGAGCGAACUUGUUCGCGAAGCAAUAGGAAGUGGUUCCAAGAAAAGCCUCUAAGCUUCAGUCUAUCAAGACCGUACCGCAAACCGACACAGGUGGGCGAGAUGAGUAUUCUAAGGCGCUUGAGAGAACUCAGGAGAAGGAACUCGGCAAAUUUGUACCGUAACUUCGGGAUAAGGUACGCCCAAGUAGCUUGUUAAAGGGCGAAAGGGUUGCAAUAAAAUGGUGGCUGCGACUGUUUAAUAAAAACACAGCACUCUGCAAACACGAAAGUGGACGUAUAGGGUGUGACGCCUGCCCGGUGCUGGAAGAUUAAAUGAUGGGGUGCAAGCUCUUGAUUGAAGUCCCAGUAAACGGCGGCCGUAACUAUAACGGUCCUAAGGUAGCGAAAUUCCUUGUCGGGUAAGUUCCGACCUGCACGAAUGGCGUAACGAUGGCCACACUGUCUCCUCCUGAGACUCAGCGAAGUUGAAAUGUUUGUGAUGAUGCAAUCUACCCGCGGCUAGACGGAAAGACCCCAUGAACCUUUACUGUAGCUUUGCAUUGGACUUUGAACCGGUUUGUGUAGGAUAGGUGGGAGGCGUUGAUAUCAGGAUGCUAGUUCUGAUGGAGCCAACCUUGAAAUACCACCCUGAUUUGUUUGAGGUUCUAACCUUGGCCCGUUAUCCGGGUCGGGAACAGUGCAUGGUAGGCAGUUUGACUGGGGCGGUCUCCUCCCAAAGUGUAACGGAGGAGUACGAAGGUACGCUUGGCACGGUCGGACAUCGUGCCUAAAGUGCAAUGGCAAAAGCGUGCUUAACUGCGAGACCGACAAGUCGAGCAGGUGCGAAAGCAGGUCAUAGUGAUCCGGUGGUUCUGUAUGGAAGGGCCAUCGCUCAACGGAUAAAAGGUACUCUGGGGAUAACAGGCUGAUACCGCCCAAGAGUUCAUAUCGACGGCGGUGUUUGGCACCUCGAUGUCGGCUCAUCUCAUCCUGGGGCUGUAGCCGGUCCCAAGGGUAUGGCUGUUCGCCAUUUAAAGAGGUACGUGAGCUGGGUUUAAAACGUCGUGAGACAGUUUGGUCCCUAUCUGCCGUGGGCGUUGGAGAUUUGACGGGGGCUGCUCCUAGUACGAGAGGACCGGAGUGGACGUACCGCUGGUGUACCUGUUGUUUCGCCAGAAGCAUCGCAGGGUAGCUAUGUACGGAAGAGAUAACCGCUGAAAGCAUCUAAGCGGGAAACUUGCCUGAAGAUGAGAUCUCCCGGAGGUUUAACCUCCAUAAAGGGUCGUUGAAGACCACGACGUUGAUAGGUCAGGUGUGGAAGCGCAGUAAUGCGUUAAGCUAACUGAUACUAAUUGCCCGUUAGACUUGAUCCU
rnacentral:rRNA from 2 species